UGGGGAAUAUUGCACAAUGGGCGCAAGCCUGAUGCAGCCAUGCCGCGUGUGUGAAGAAGGCCUUCGGGUUGUAAAGCACUUUCAGCGGGGAGGAAGGCGGUGAGGUUAAUAACCUCAUCGAUUGACGUUACCCGCAGAAGAAGCACCGGCUAACUCCGUGCCAGCAGCCGCGGUAAUACGGAGGGUGCAAGCGUUAAUCGGAAUUACUGGGCGUAAAGCGCACGCAGGCGGUCUGUCAAGUCGGAUGUGAAAUCCCCGGGCUCAACCUGGGAACUGGAUUCGAAACUGGCAGGCUAGAGUCUUGUAGAGGGGGGUAGAAUUCCAGGUGUAGCGGUGAAAUGCGUAGAGAUCUGGAGGAAUACCGGUGGCGAAGGCGGCCCCCUGGACAAAGACUGACGCUCAGGUGCGAAAGCGUGGGGAGCAAACAGG
rnacentral:rRNA from 1 species